rnacentral:rRNA from 1 species
GGCCCAGAUCGUUUUCCGUGAAAAAAUUAGAGUGUUCAAAGCAGGCAGAUCCAAUUUUCUGCCCCCGAAUACAUUAGCAUGGGAUAAUGGAAUAGGACCCUGUCCUCCUAUUUUCAGUUGUUUUUUCGCGAGGACCAGGGUAAUGAUUAGUAGGGAUAGUUGGGGGCAUUAAUAUUUAAUUGUCUGAGGUAAAAUUCAUGGAUUUAUUAAAGAAAAAAUUCUGCCAGCGCAUCUGCCUGGGAUGGUUUCUUUAAUCAAGAACGAAAGUAAGGGGAUCGAACACAAACAAAUACCGUCCGACUCUUAACCAUACACGAUGCCAACCAGCCAUUAGGAAACGUAGAAUACAAAACACCACCCUGCGCCUUGCGGGCGUCUUUGGGGUGUCGCUCACAAGGCGGCAUCGUCGGGACGGCUUAGCUCGCAUGGCACCGGUGAAUGACUCCCUAACAGCUUGUGAGA